ensembl:lncRNA
GCACAAUCGGUGGCUGACUAAAUACUUUUUUGCCCCACUGUACUUGAAACUCCUGUCAAUAUCAAAUGAUUGCAUGGAAUGACUUUGAGUUGCUACUAAGAUUAGUAGACAGAUUAUUUUCUGUCGAGUUAUUUGGAGAGGGGCCAGCAGUCUGUGGCUGUUACUGAAAUUAUGAAUGAAAGUUUCAUCGUGUUAAGUCAUUCUAAUCUGCGCUUAACUCACUGUCUUUAAGCAACCACAACUGCAGCACCAACCACAACAACUACAACUGCAGCACCAGCAACCAUAACUGCAGCGCCAACCACUACAACUGCACCAACAACCACUACAACUGCAACGCUAACCGCAACUGCAGCACCAACCACACCUGCGUCACCAACAACCACUGCAGCACCAACAACCACUACAACUGCAGCACCAGCAACUAUAACUGCAGCGCCAACCACUACAACUGCACCAACAACCACUACAACUGCAACGCUAACCGCAACUGCAGCACCAACCACACCUGCGUCACCAACAACCACUGCAGCACCAACAACCACUACAACUGCAGCACCAGCAACCAUAACUGCAGCACCAACCACUACAACUGCACCAACAACCACUACAACUGCAACGCUAACCGCAACUGCAGCACCAACCACACCUGCAUCACCAACAACCACUGCAGCACCAACAACCACUACAACUGCAGCACCAGCAACCAUAACUGCAGCGCCAUUCACUACAACUGCACCACCAACAACAACCACUACAGCUGCAGCACCGGCAACCAUAACUGCAACAGUAACCACAACUACUGCACCAACAACCACAACACUAACCACCACUACAACUGCAGCACCAACCACCACUACAACUAUAACACCAACCACAACUGCAGCACCGGCAACCACAACUGCAGCACCAACGAAUACAACUACAGCAACAACCACAACUGCACUACCAACCACCACUACAACUACAGCACCAACCAACACAACUACAACACCAACCAUAACUGCAGCACCAACAACCACAACUGCAGCACCAACAACCACAACUGCAGCGCCAACUACUACAACUACAACUAAAACUGCAGCACAAAGCACCACAACCCCUACAGAAGGGUCAACCACCAUUCAAAUUCCAACAGGCCCACAAGCACUUGCACAUCUAAAGAUAAAGAUGACUACAUACGGGCAGGUUAGCAAUGCAACCAUCAUUGCCCUUCUUGAACAGUUUAACACCAAGGUCCUGAAUGGUAUACCCCACAUUCUCUCUGUGACAAACAUUAAAAAAGUUGGAGCAUAAAAAUUGAAUGUGGACACAAGUCAAAAAUAAAAAUAUAAAGGCAAGAAUUUAACAGUGAGUUAGUAGAUUUGUUUCAACAUGAUCCGGAGCGGCAGUUUGCCUCAGUCGCUUCAUCAUAUCCUGAAUGAUUAGUACGUUGGUGUGAGAAGGAGACAUCAGCUGUGCUGCAGUGGUCGACAGCCAGAUGGGCUUGGAUUGCUCUGUGAAUGUAUGAAACCUAAACCUGGGUGAAAGCAGAUCAUAUUUAAAUAUCAAUCCCCUUACAUGAUCAUUUCUGAAAUUAAAUCAAACUGCAGAAACACAAUGCUGUAGUUCCCAUGAAUUACAAAUGCGCUUUUGGUUUAUCAUCUUGAAAAGUACAAUAGGCAUCUCAAACCAGGCAGCUGGCUAAUAAUGUCAAUACUUACUCACUCUGACAAAAUGGUGACUAGGAAAUCAAAUAAUUUAUAUGCUUUGAAACAAAAAAAAUAUUUUAUUUAUUGGUUACGUGUUUUAGUAAUAUCACUUUUGAGUCAUUUAAAAGUACAGAUCCGGAAAAGCAUUAAUUGUACUGCACACACAGCUAGGCCUCUGAGAAAGUGGGUGACACUCAGUGGGUGAGAAUUCCACAGGUGUUAACUUACUGCUCACCGUGUCAAUAGAUUUUAAUUAAAUUUCUGUAACAGAUUCUUGUUAACUCGGCUUUUCCACAUGGAAAACAAGGAAAAUUAUUACUGUUGGUGCAUAAAUACUGCACCCUAAUGAAGAAAAUAAAUCAGUUUUCAGAUAUUACUGACCAACAACACACUUUUUCCCCCUUUGUGGUAUUAGAAUCAAAUCUGUUUUUCAGAAUUUGUUUUUGUAUGUCUGCUGAUUUGUACUGUACUUUAAACUGUGACUAAAUUUUACAAACUUGUCACUCCUGCUACUAAAGUCUCAUAUACACAGAAAUAUAUCUGAUUCUGAUUAUUCUGAAUAAAGAGAUAUAACCAUUUGUAAUGGCCAUUCUUUGUAUCAUUUAUUCUUUCAGAAUUCUUUUUAAAUGAAACUUUAUUCAACUUGUGAAUUUAAAGCAGAUUUAUACCCAUAUACAGAAUAUCAAGAACAACAGCUGUUAGAAAAUACAAGAGAAAGUGAAAACAUAGAUUGCUAUUCAAUGUUAAAUGUGCUCUUCGUAAGUGCCAUUUUAAUAAUUAAUGAAAGAAAACACACCUUAUCUGCAUCAACAAAUAAACUCAACAUGGAUCCAUCAACUCUGACUUGGCCCUGCCAAAAACAUCUAAGACCUUGUGUGUUGAGUACCAUUCCUUCCCGUUCUUUUAAAAUACAUGAUUCUACUUAUCAAAAAAUGCGCACAGGUUCUAUUAUAAACACUACACGGUUUAAAACCAUCAGACUGAGGUCUUUACAAAAUACAAACACUGGUCUAAUCUACAGCAUCGUGUCACCAGCACCAAAGUGCACACAGAGCAAAUUGCGUCCUUUUAGUCAUGUUGUUAACAUCACACAGAAACGUUUAAUCUCCAGUGAGAGGGAAUUCUCUUCAUAAUCUCAUCAUCACUUCUCUUCAGUUGUCCUCUCCGUCUCGCAGCACCUUGUGCACAGCUCU